rnacentral:rRNA from 1 species
UACGUAGGGUGCAGGCGUUAAUCGGAAUUACUGGGCGUAAAGCGUGCGCAGGCGGUUGCUAAGACAGGUGUGAAAUCCCGGCUUACCUGGGAACUGCGCUUGUAACUGGCAAGCUGGAGUGUGGCAGAGGGGGUGGAAUUCCGGCGUGUAGCAGUGAAAUGCGUAGAGAUGCGGAGGAACACCGAUGGCGAAGGCAGCCCCUGGGCUAGCACUGACGCUCAGGCACGAAAGCGUGGGGAGCAACAGG